rnacentral:rRNA from 1 species
UACAGAGGGUGCAAGCGUUGUUCGGAAUUAUUGGGCGUAAAGGGCGCGUAGGCGGCCAGGUAAGUUUGAUGUGAAAUCCCACGGCUUAACCGGGGAACUGCGUCUGAUACUGGAUGGCUUGAGGUUGGGAGAGGGAUGCGGAAUUCCAGGUGUAGCGGUGAAAUGCGUAGAUAUCUGGAGGAACACCGGUGGCGAAGGCGGCAUCCUGGACCAAUUCUGACGCUGAGGAGCGAAAGCCAGGGGAGCAAACGGG